GAUGAAGAACGUAGCGAAAUGCGAUAAGUAGUGUGAAUUGCAGAAUUCAGUGAAUCAUCGAAUCUUUGAACGCACAUUGCGCCCUUUGGUAUUCCUUAGGGCAUGCCAGUUCGAGCGUCAUUUGAAACCUCAAGCUCAGCUUGGUGUUGGGUGUCUGUCCCCGCCUCACCGCGGGGACUCGCCUCAAAAUCAUUGGCGGCCGGUACGUUGGCUUCGAGCGCAGCAGAAACGCGAACUCGAGGCCCGGCGGAUCGGCGACCAGAAGUCACUUCUUCACAGUUUGACCUCGGAUCAGGUAGGGAUACCCGCUGAACUUAAGCAUAUCAAUAAGCGGAGGA
rnacentral:misc_RNA from 1 species